UGAAGCUGGAAGCCUUCGUAACGUUUCUGAGACAAAUUUGAGUUAAGUGACUAGCUUGAAACUACCAGUGUAGUUCUUGGAACUUCCACCCGUAUACUGCCCCCGCGUUGUUUGGAUAACGGGGGUGUAGCUUCUACAAGUAAGUAUGGUUCCCACCCUAUCCUUAAAGUAAUUAAUAACUUACGACAUUUGCCACAUUUCCUUGGGCAAUCGGUGAAAAACGUGAAAUCUUUACACGCAGACUCGUCUUUUGUGGAACAAUUAGGGGCGUCUGGUCUGCAAUCUAUAAUAUGAACAGAAUUGAGAAAAUUCUUUCACAUAAAGCAAAAAUAGAGCAUGCAUUUGUAAACCCAUACUGUAUACGUAUCUUCCU